GACGAACGCUGGCGGCGUGCUUAACACAUGCAAGUCGAACGGAAAGGCCCUGCUUUUGUGGGGUGCUCGAGUGGCGAACGGGUGAGUAACACGUGAGUAACCUGCCCUUGACUUUGGGAUAACUUCAGGAAACUGGGGCUAAUACCGGAUAGGAGCUCCUGCUGCAUGGUGGGGGUUAGAAAGUUUCGGCGGUUGGGGAUGGACUCGCGGCUUAUCAGCUUGUUGGUGGGGUAGUGGUUUACCACGGCUUUGACGGGUAGCCGGCCUGAGAGGGUGGCCGGCGACCUUGGGCCUGCGAGACGGCCCAGACUCCUACGGGCGGCAGCAGUGGGGAAUCUUGCACAAUGGGCGGACGCCUGAUGCAGCAACGCUGCGUGCGUGAUGACGGCCUUCGGGUUGUAAACCGCUUUCGCCUGUGACGAAGCGUGAGUGACGGUAAUGGGUAAAGAAGCACCGGCUAACUACGUG
rnacentral:rRNA from 1 species